CUGUUACAUCCGUCUCACUUGAUGCAUGUCCAUGGUGCGUGUGCUAACUUUAUCUCAUGCCGCACAGAUAGACUACUACUGUAUUUUUACCAUUUUUCUUUCACCUCAUAUUUGGUGUAAAUGCUGAUACUAUGUGGGAAUGCAUAAAGCCAUGUCAUCAUCUCUCUGGAAACACUUGGCUGGAACUUGAACUGGUGGAUGAUGGGAGCUGAUAUUUUCCUGAAACAUACCUACAGUAUGUUCUACUGCUGAUUACUAAAGAAUGGAAAACAGUGGAAUCAAACUUUUUUCUCCUGAGGAAAGAUGAGAGUCUGAUCUUGCUUUUGGGACGUGGAUACAUAGAUUGGUGUCCUACAAAAGAGAAACUUUACAGAAAGUAUGUGGAUGUCAACAACCACAUACAGGCAGAUCCUUGUGAUCCAUGUGAGUCCAUGUGACUCAUUGAAAUAUGAUGCUGUCAUCACGAUUAGGAAUUUUAAGCGUUCUCCUUUACUGGCCGUGACUGUGCUUCCUUUAUGAAGCGCAGGAACUUUCCCACACUAAAUCAUGUGGAAUAGGCAAUAAUGUUGUCCAAAGGGGAACAAUACUGCAGUUUCACGCUUGGAGGCUUUCGUAGUUCAGAUGUAAUACAGUAAAUACUUUAGACUCGUAAACCGGAAUUGUCACAUUGCUCAUCUGACUGUUCCAACCCAUGCAGCUACAGUCCGUAUAGUAUCUACAGCAUGUCCCUCAGGAUGUGUUGUUUGAAUUUCUUCAAACUAGACUUUACACCGUCAUGAUCUCGGGGGCCGCUCGCAAUGUACGACAAUUUUUGCCAUGCCCCAAACGGGGAUGCUCGGGUUAAAACAAGUGCUGAGUGAUUUGGGAUAACGUAAUACAGUCCUAAACAUUACUGCGAUAUACAUUUUUUAUACAAUAUUGUAAUUGCAAUUUGAUACAAUUUGGUAUUUUUAAUACAAUUAUUAUUUGAUAUUUUGCCCUCUAUCCACAAUCCUGAUUCCUUUCCCUUUUGUGUGUUCUAAAGAGAGAAAAACAGCUGGUACGGGGCAGCUAAACAUGCACGUAAUGGGAUUCGACUAUUUUGACUAUAAAGCCCUCCAAAAAAAAAAAAAAGCCAACAAUGUUGCAUUUACAUAAUGUGACCUGCACAUCAGCCAAGCUACAGCGACAUUGUUAUUGUGCCGAAGAACUACUUUCAUUGUGUAGUGACAUAGCGCAUUGCUCACAGUUAGUUGGAUGAUUUAACAGUCAUACUCGAAAAAAUGCACGGUGACGGUGAGUCAACAAGGCAUAGGGCGCCUUUUUCGGGUACUUUGUUUCGCGGAAUGAUACAGUACAGUACAUGGCAAACAAACUCAUUUUUUAAGUGCAAUAUUGUGCAUAAACUGAAACAAAACCUGGGCAAAAUUGGAGCAUGCGCAAUAAAACUGAGGUUUGACAGUAUUACAGAUGAAUGAAUUAUUAAUGAAUUAAUGAAUUAUUAUCUUGUAGUGACUUUAAUCUUCAGUAUUACCUUGAUGAACAGCUCUAUGAGUGUAAUGGUGACAAACUACACUUUAAAAAGUGCAGUGAGUACACAUAGAAACCGUUUAUCUGACCGUUUUCCUUGCAUACCUCAGCCAUCUUGAUUCCGUUGAGUAAGAAUGUCACUUUUGACCUUAGCUACUUGAUGAUAUAAUAUAAGAAAAAUGAUAUCUGCACUGCACAAGUACUAGAUAAGAACAUGCAAGGUAAUAAAUGCAGUCCUGACAAGUACUACAGUCUCGACUUUUGACCGCCAAAUAAAUGUUCCGUGACUGCAAGUAAACAUAUUUGCUAUAGUUGGAAGCACGGAGGUAAAGAAGUUGAUUCUAUGAACUGGAACGUUCUGAAUGUUUUUCAUUUGUACCUGGGCACCAUCGAGUCCCCGCCUCUCAGUGUGGUAGGGUCUAGUUCAAAGAUGGAGGAGAUGUCCAUGCCAUCCGGGACCGGCACAAGGGUGUACAUGAUUUUCUCCUGAGGGGCCCGCAGACGACCACGUAAAGCUUCAUUGUCUGCAUCAAGCUGAAUGAAGAAAUGUUCAAUGUGAGAGAAGUACAGCAGCCACCCAAGCAACUCAAGAAACCUGCUGACGGUCAUAAACAUCUAUACACGUCUGCCCAUUUGCAGCGGCUUCUAAUAGCAAACGGAUCAACUUGAGGGGAUCUGAUGCCACCCUGUGGCCGAAGAAGGGACUGCGCAAGGCUUUGCUUCUUCAUCAAGUCCUUUUUUAAACGUACUGUGUAGUAUUUAUCUUGGAUUGGUAAAAACAAACAUAAAAACCCACAGAAAGUAUGUUAUUAUUGCGAUACGAUAAAUGAAAUCAAGUGGAAGCUCUCCAUGUUGGAAAACUGUCAAGCUUUUCUUUUAAGUAUUAUUGACCAUAGAGAAUUAGCUCUACU